GCCAGGCCUGGUGGCACGUGCCUAUAAUCCCAGCUGCUCAGGAAGCCGAAAUAGGAGGAUUGCUUAAGCCCAGAGGGUCUGGGCUGUAGUUUGCUAUGCCAAUUGGGUGUACACAGUAAGUUAAGCAUCAAUACAUAUAACUCCCAGGAGUGGGGGACCACAGGUUUCCUAAAGAGGGGUGAGCCAGCCUGGGUAGAAAACAGAGCAGGCCAAAUUUCCCGUGCUGAUGAGUAAUCAAAUCCUGCCUGUGAAUAACAUUUGCACUCCAGCCUGGGCAACACAGCAAGACCCUGUCUCUU
ensembl:misc_RNA Metazoa_SRP Metazoan signal recognition particle RNA